ACUUGAGCUAGUCACUUUAUUUUCUGAGCUUCAGUUUGCUCACUGGACGAGUAGGAAAGUCAUUCCUGUCUGGCUUAACUAGAGGGCCUGUGGUGAGGCAUAAACUGGAGAAGAAAAUCAAACCAUCUGGUGAACUGUCAAGCUCAAUUUCCCUCUUUAAGGAAGAAAGGAAAGUGUUUUCCUGGAUACUAGAUAUGCUGAGUUGGGACAGGAGCUAAGGAUAGAGGUGAGGAAACCCGCAGACAACAGCGACAUGCUCCUCAUCUUUGAGUCCCAGCGAACCUUUCCACUGUGUGUGUGUGAUCUCACUCUGUUCCCCAGGCUGGAAUGCAGUUAACUGAUCACCUGCAGGCUUGAACUCCAGGGUUCAAGCGAUCCUCCUACUUCAGCCUCCUGAGCAGCUAAGGACUACAGCACAUUAUGUUCCUGAAAACCAGGAACUGCUUCCUGUCUGACCCACUGCAGUGGUGGAGAGGAUCAAGGGAAAUAAUGAUCAUGGAUGUGCUUAGGAGACGUAAGAUUUUACUAAGAAUUGCUGUGAGCUGGGCACCCUUCUACGCUCUGCAGACACCAUGGCUAGUAAGACAGGCAAAGACCUGCCAUCUGGAGCUUGUUUGGAUAUAGGGUAGGGGGACGGGGAGAAGGGAGAUAAACAAUAAACAAGUAAAUUUACACUC